rnacentral:rRNA from 1 species
CACGGGGGGAGCAAGCGUUGUUCGGGAUCACUGGGCGUAAAGGGCGUGCAGGCGGUCAGGUAAGUGGGAUGUGAAAUGCCCCGGCUCACCCGGGGACCAGCAUCUCAUACUGCUUGGCUUGAGUACGGGAGAAGAUGUGGGAAUUCCUGGUGUAGCGGUGAAAUGCGUAGAUAUCAGGAGGAACACCGGUGGCGAAGGCGCACAUCUGGCCCGAUACUGACGCUGAGGCGCGAAAGCUAGGGGAGCAAACGGG